UCAGAUUUCGGACGUAUUACACAAAUUAAAAUUUACGUUAUUGAAAGUAAAUAAAAUACAAAGAGGUAUGACAUGAUAUUUAUUGUACGUAAAAUGCCAAUUUUGGAUAAAGAAUAUGACUUAAUCGUGUUUUGUUUUAAAAUACAAUGCCUCGCAAUAUUGCCCUACACUGCUCAAUUGGAAAAGUUGGUCGAAUUAAUGGAAUCAAAACCAUGGAUAGCCACCGGGCAUGCUCGCGCUGCACAUGCUAUAGAACGCAGUCAUUAUGCAUGGAUGAAAAUCCAACAACUUGAAUAAUAGCAAUGGAAAUGGCUGCAUCAAAACAUGGCAACAAAGGCAAAAGUAAUGGAAAGAUAUAAAGGUGCUGUAAAGAGGAAAUGCAGAUGCAUUGCCAUUGCUAGAAUUAGAACAGGCGAUGGCAUGGAUGAAACAGCAGUAGCAGAACUGACUCACCUAGAAUGGGGAAUUGUUUUUCUAAUGGGGGGAAUAAGCUGCUACAGGGCAGGAAGACUUAGAAUUGCCUGUUAUCCAUGAAUUAUUGUUAAUAAUCAAACAAUUAUUAGUGGACAAUCACAAAGCAUACUGAUAAAACAGAAUCCCUCUACUGUAGCUGUUGCAGGCAAGGAAUAAACAAGGGAAAUUUUAACGAAUGCUUUUCAAGCAGAGGAAGUUAAUCAAACUCCUAAGUGUCCUGCAGUAGAGGAGCAGCUGGUGAGAGUGAACGUCGGCGAUGGGCGCACAGUUCAAGAGUCGUGGCUGUAGUAUGCCAACAGCAUGACGCGGACUCCUGCAAAGUUCUCCGUAACUCUGCUCUGAAAUGCCUAGCAAACUCGCCAAAACAGGUCAAAACCGAAAGUUUUAUAGCUAUUAAAGAGUGACGUGUUUUAUAUAUUUAGUAGGAUGAAAAAAAACAAUUAUGGUCAAAAAUCGGUUCUUCGAUGGAUUUCACUGACAUACAGGUUAUACAUUACAAUAUAUUUUUAUAACCUAACUAGUGAACCCGAUAGACGUUGUUCUGUUAAAAAAAAACUCUCGCCGAUGGAAUUUCGUAAAAUCCGUUCUUAGCUGAGGUCAGCUACUACUCGACGAAAGGAAUAUUCCUACCAAAUUUCAAGUCUCUACGCCUUAUGGCUCCAGAGAUAUAGUGAUGAGUGACUAUAUACGUGGAAAACUCUUAUAUAUAUAGAUUGACCAUGGGAAAUGGAUUUUCUAGAUUCAGACCACAAACUUUCAAGAAUUGGCCUUGAGAUUUGUUAAUGGUCAUGGCGAAUGCAAGACGGAUCGGAAAUUAAAGAUUUGCGGGCUAACUUGACAUGCAAAAUGUUCAUGAAGUAGUUGCUGUAGAUCAUGAAGAAUUGCUAUUAUCAUAGAUGCAUUGAUCUCUUCAUGUCGUUGUUCCUCCAUGGUGCCCAUGAAAUAUUAUUGUUAAAAUUUAUGGUGUGCAUCAUUGAGAGAUUGCAAUGGUCCAAUUCGAUGGUGAAUCUGUCCUUCUAUCUACAAAAUCAAAGGCAAAGUCCGAUUUGUAAACACUUAUUUUUAGAAUUAGCAUACAUAAUACAUAGGAAUAAGUAUAGUAGGUAUGUUAUUCUUCUACUGUAUUGUGUGUAAGAAUAUAAAUAAAUCAAUACCCUGAAUGUGGGAUUAAAUCGUCGUUCUUAGGCUGGCUACGCACUGGCGACCAUGGUCGCCGCGACCUGGCCGCGGCGGCCAUUGAAUUCUGGACUUUAUAUGGCCAUCGCUAUAGCCUAUGCACUUAGCGGCUAGCGACCAGCGGCCACCGUUGGCAGCGGCGUCUAAUUUGAUGCCACGCGACCAGCGACCAAUCGUGGCCGUCGAGAAUAUCACUACUGUAGUAAAAUUCAUCAGUGCUACCGCAUCGGCCGCGGUGACCAGACGUGUAUAGCUACAGAGUGAUUAUUUUACAAUGGCCAAUAAUUUCGACACGGAAAGGUUCAUAAUUGAAGUUGAAAAUAGAAGAGGUUUAUGGGAUUUAUCAUCAAAUGAUUACUCCAAUAAAGAUGUUAAGCGGCAGUUGUGGCUUGAACUGUUCAAUAUAUUUGGCGGUGAAUCCAUGGAAGAUAAAGAAAAGGCAGGA